UACAGAGGUCCCGAGCGUUGUUCGGAUUCAUUGGGCGUAAAGGGUGCGUAGGCGGCUUCCUAAGUUUGAUGUGAAAUCCUGGGGCUCAACCCUGGAACUGCAUUGAAUACUGGGAGGCUAGAGUACUGGAGAGGAAACUGGAAUUUACGGUGUAGCAGUGAAAUGCGUAGAGAUCGUAAGGAAGACCAGUGGCGAAGGCGGUUGCCUGGGGCUUUGCUGACGCUGAGGCGCGAAAGCGUGGGGAGCGAUCCGG
rnacentral:rRNA from 1 species